CCUACGGGUGGCUGCAGUGGGGAAUAUUGGACAGUGGGCGAAAGCCUGAUCCAGCCAUGCCGCGUGUGUGAAGAAGGCCUUCGGGUUGUAAAGCACUUUCAGUGGGGAAGAAAGCCUUGGGGCUAAUACCCUCGAGGAAGGACAUCACCCACAGAAGAAGCACCGGCUAACUCCGUGCCAGCAGCCGCGGUAAUACGGAGGGUGCGAGCGUUAAUCGGAAUUACUGGGCGUAAAGCGCGCGUAGGCGGUCUGAUAAGCCGGUUGUGAAAGCCCCGGGCUCAACCUGGGAACGGCAUCCGGAACUGUCAGGCUAGAGUGCAGGAGAGGAAGGUAGAAUUCCCGGUGUAGCGGUGAAAUGCGUAGAGAUCGGGAGGAAUACCAGUGGCGAAGGCGGCCUUCUGGACUGACACUGACGCUGAGGUGCGAAAGCGUGGGUAGCAAACAGGAUUAGAUACCCGAGUAGUC
rnacentral:rRNA from 1 species